rnacentral:rRNA from 1 species
GGAAUUUUGGACAAUGGGGGCAACCCUGAUCCAGCAAUGCCGCGUGAGUGAAGAAGGCCUUCGGGUUGUAAAGCUCUUUUGUCCGGGAAGAAACGGUCUUUUCUAAUACAGAGGACUAAUGACGGUACCGGAAGCAUAAGCACCGGCUAACUACGUGCCAGCAGCCGCGGUAAUACGUAGGGUGCAAGCGUUAAUCGGAAUUACUGGGCGUAAAGCGGGCGCAGGCGGUUUGGUAAGACAGAUGUGAAAUCCCCGGGCUUAACCUGGGAAUUGCAUUUGUGACUGCCCGGCUAGAGUGUGUCAGAGGGGGGUAGAAUUCCACGUGUAGCAGUGAAAUGCGUAGAUAUGUGGAGGAAUACCGAUGGCGAAGGCAGCCCCCUGGGAUAACACUGACGCUCAUGCACGAAAGCGUGGGGAGCAAAC